GCCUGGAUCACGUGACCGAUCACGUGGCUGUUUUUCUCCUUGUGCGGGCUGUGAUGAGCGGCGCAGGUGCACGUGCGUCUGUUGUUAUGGAGUGAGAUAGUAAACACUGAAGCUCAGCCUUGAGAAAGUGGCACAUUUUUGGUGUUAAACGCUCAUCGGUGACACUUUGACAUGCUGUUUGUUUGGAGAGGAAUUUGCUGGAACAUUUUGCCCUCAGCAGUUUAUUCUCACCCUCUUUCCUCUUUUCAUCCCUCUUUUUUCUCAUUCGUCUCCUUCUCUCUCAGACACUUCACGUGUUUUUUUUUAUUUUCUAUUUUUUUUUUAUUUGCUUUAACUAUUUUUGCCUGUGCUGGAAUUUUCUCCUCCACUUUUCCGUCAUUAUGUUCUCUGUAUUUCUGUCCUGCUUUAUAUAUCUUUAAUAAUAGAAUCAUGAAACGUUUUGAUUCUGUUGAUUUGGAGCGACCUGCUGAGCUAAAAACACGUGUGUGUACGGGUUUGUGACUCAAGCAGACUGGCACCAAAGGUCUUUUUUUAAGCAUGCGUGUAAAGAAAGAAAGAAAAAAACAAAACAAAACAGAGUUUGGAAGAGGAAUAAAGUGAGGAAGGGAAAAGUUUAAUAUCUGUCAUUUUAACCCAAAAAAGAUUCAACGAAAGAUAAUCACCUCCAUGAAGCCUGCCGUGUCGAAAUAAAUGAUUAUUAAUGAUCUCAA